rnacentral:rRNA from 1 species
GACGAACCGUGCGAACGUUGUUCGGAUUCAUUGGGCUUAAAGGGCGCGUAGGCGGCCGCUCAAGUCGGGGGUGAAAUCUUUCAGCUUAACUGGAAAAUAGCCUCCGAUACUGGGCGGCUGGAGGGAGAUAGGGGUGCGCGGAACUUCCGGUGGAGCGGUGAAAUGCGUAGAUAUCGGAAGGAACGCCGGUGGCGAAAGCGGCGCACUGGAUCUCAUCUGACGCUGAGGCGCGAAAGCCAGGGGAGCAAACGGG